rnacentral:rRNA from 1 species
GACGAACGCUGGCGGCAGGCCUAACACAUGCAAGUCGAACGAGAAGCCACCUUCGGGUGGCGGACAGUGGCAGACGGGUGAGUAACGCGUGGGAACGUGCCUUUCGGUUCGGGAUAACCCGGGGAAACUUGGGCUAAUACCGGAUACGCCCUUCGGGGGAAAGAUUCAUCGCCGAAAGAUCGGCCCGCGUCGGAUUAGCUAGUUGGUAGGGUAAUGGCCUACCAAGGCGACGAUCCGUAGCUGGUCUGAGAGGAUGACCAGCCACACUGGGACUGAGACACGGCCCAGACUCCUACGGGAGACAGCAGUGGGGAAUAUUGGACAAUGGGCGAAAGCCUGAUCCAGCCAUGCCGCGUGGGUGAAGAAGGCCUUAGGGUUGUAAACCCCUUUCAGCGGGGAAGAUAAUGACGGUACCCGCAGAAGAAGUCCCGGCUAACUCCGUGCCAGCCGCCGCGGUAAGAC